rnacentral:pre_miRNA from 1 species
UAUUAAAACUUUUAUUGAUUUCUAUUGUUAAAAACUCACAUGGUUGACAAAAUAAUCAAAGUGUUACUUGAAUCUCAUACGUAUAAACAGGGACAAAUUUUUUAAUUGUAGAAAUAGAUGAAAAUUUUAAGA